AAAAAUAUAGAAGGCACAGCUGAUAUGAGAAUGAAAUUUGUUGAAAUGAAAAUAAAUCGUCGCAGUUGUGUUUCGCCUUUCGAAAAAUGCGAAUGGAGGAUGAAUUUCCUUAAAGGAGAAUCGAAUACAAGCAACAUAAAUCCUCAUUCAAUGAUCCUAAGAGUCUUCAACCGAAAAAAACUUAUAACAAAUUUUAAGUUCGACGAUCAAUCUGUUUCCCCCUCUUGAAAGUGUAGCGAAACUAAUAAUAGGCGGAGUCGUAUGUAAUAUAAUAUUUUUACAUCUAUUACUACUAUCCUACAUAGAAGAGACUAGCAAC
rnacentral:lncRNA from 1 species